GAAAGCUCGAGCGGCGAACAAUGGCGUCGGAUCAGACUGCGAGGGGCGAGGAUUUCGAGAAGAAGGCCGAGAAGAAGCUCAGCGGAUGGGGUCUCUUCGGAUCCAAGUACGAGGACGCCGCCGAUCUCUACGACAAGGCCGCCAAUUGUUUCAAGCUCGCCAAGAACUGGGAGAGAGCGGCAGCUGUUUACAUUAAACUGGCUGGAAUUCAUAUCAAGCUGGAGAGCAAGCAUGAGGCGGCUUCGGCUUAUAUCGAUGCGGCCAACUGUUACAAGAAGUACUCAAACUCAGAUGCCGCACGAGCCCUAAAUGAAGCUGUAAAUCUUUUUCUGGAGAUUGGCAGACUAAAUAUGGCUGCGAGGUACUGCAAGGAACUUGGUGACUCAUAUGAGGCUGAACAGGACCUCGAGAAGGCUAUGGACUACUUUGAACGGGCUGCGGAUCUUUUUCAAAGCGAGGAAGUGUCAAGCUCUGUAAACCAGUGCAAGCAAAGAGUUGCACAAAUUGCUGCCCAGCUAGAACAGUAUCCGAAGGCAGUUAAGAUAUACGAGGAAGUAGCACGACAAUCGAUGAAUAACAAUCUUCUUAAAUACAGUGUCAAGGGGAUUCUCCUUAAUGCUGGCAUUUGUCAACUAUGUAAAGUUGAUGAUGUCGCAAUCAACAACUCACUAGAGCGAUUUCAGGAACUUGACCCGACCUUCUCAGGCACGCGUGAAUACAAGCUGUUAGCUGACUUGGCAGCUUCAAUCGAAGAAGAAGACAUUGAGAAGUUCACUAACGUCAUCCAGGAAUAUGAUAGCAUGACCCGUCUGGAUCCUUGGAAGACCACCCUUUUACUGAGAGUGAAGAAUACACUGAAAGAAAAGGAGGACAAAGAUGAGGACCUGACCUGAGGCGUGGGCACAGAAUGCUACUGCAAAUUAUAUGCGUUAAGGGUUUUGGCUUUGUAUAAGUUUAUUACCGGGGAUGAUUACGUGGUGUGGUCUGUGUGUUGAAAC
rnacentral:misc_RNA from 1 species